UACGUAGGGUGCGAGCGUUGUCCGGAAUUAUUGGGCGUAAAGAGCUUGUAGGCGGUUUGUCGCGUCUGCUGUGAAAAUCCGGGGCUCAACCCCGGACUUGCAGUGGGUACGGGCAGGACUAGAGUGUGGUAGGGGGAGACUGGAAUUCCUGGUGUAGCGGUGGAAAAUGCGCAGGAUAUCAGGAGGAACACCGAUGGCGAAGGCAGGUCUCCUGGGCC
rnacentral:rRNA from 1 species